rnacentral:rRNA from 1 species
UACGUAGGUGGCGAGCGUUGUCCGGAUUUACUGGGCGUAAAGAGCGCGCAGGCGGCUGGUCAAGUCCGAUGUGAAAGCUCCCGGCUUAACUGGGAAAUUGCAUCGGAAACUGAUCGGCUGGAAGGUGGGAGAGGGUAGCGGAAUUCCCGGUGUAGUGGUGAAAUGCGUAGAUAUCGGGAGGAACGCCAGUGGCGAAAGCGGCUACCUGGCCCAUUCUUGACGCUGAGGCGCGAAAGCUAGGGGAGCAAACGGG